rnacentral:rRNA from 1 species
UGGGGAAUUUUGGACAAUGGGCGAAAGCCUGAUCCAGCCAUGCCGCGUGCAGGAUGAAGGCCUUCGGGUUGUAAACUGCUUUUGUACGGAACGAAAAGACUCUGGUUAAUACCUGGGGUCCAUGACGGUACCGUAAGAAUAAGCACCGGCUAACUACGUGCCAGCAGCCGCGGUAAUACGUAGGGUGCAAGCGUUAAUCGGAAUUACUGGGCGUAAAGCGUGCGCAGGCGGUUAUAUAAGACAGACGUGAAAUCCCCGGGCUCAACCUGGGAACUGCAUUUGUGACUGUAUAGCUAGAGUACGGGCAGAGGGGGGAUGGAAUUUCCGCGUGUAGCAGUGAAAUGCGUAGAUAUGCGGAGGAACACCGAUGGCGAAGGCAAUCCCCUGGGCCUGUACUGACGCUCAUGCACGAAAAGCGUGGGGGAGCAAAACAGGAUUAGAUACCCUGGUAGUCCACGCCCUAAACGACGUCAACUGGGUUGUUGGGGUCUUCACUGACUCAGUAACGAAGCUAACGCGUGAAGUUGACCGCCUGGGGAGUACGGCCGCAAGGUUGAAACUCAAAGGAAUUGACGGGGGUCAUAGCU